UACGUAGGGUGCAAGCGUUUGUCCGGAAUUAUUGGGCGUAAAGAGCUCGUAGGCGGUCUGUCGCGUCGGCUGUGAAAACUCGGGGCUCAACUCCGAGCUUGCAGUCGAUACGGGCAGGCUAGAGUUCGGCAGGGGGAGACUGGAAUUCCUGGUGUAGCGGUGAAAUGCGCAGAUAUCAGGAGGAACACCGGUGGCGAAGGCGGGUCUCUGGGACGGUACUGACGCUGAGACGCGAAAGCGUGGGGAGCGAACAGG
rnacentral:rRNA from 1 species